GUGUUCACUUUGGCAGCACAUAUAAUAAAAUUGGAGUGAUACGGAGAAGAUUAGCAUGGUCUGUGCACAUGGAUGACAUGCAAAUUCAUGAAGCAUUCCAUCUUCAU
rnacentral:snRNA from 2 species